rnacentral:lncRNA from 1 species
CGAAUUCAGGACAAUCCAGGUUUGGAGCUAAAGAAAUUAGUAAGUUUCUUGUCCAAUUGAAGUUGGCAAGGUUCAGUAGUUGAACAAUGAAAAAAUUUGCCCAGUUACCAGGUAUUCUUGUGUGGAUGUAUGAUCUAUUACCUGAGCUGAAGUACUUAGCCCAAAGUCUAUUUGCCACGAUAUCUGCUAGGACAAAUUCUGUGUUGUUGGUUUGAGACCAUGCCAUUCCAUCUUCCACCAGUGCUCCUUGCCCUCCGUAUCCCA